rnacentral:rRNA from 1 species
UACAGAGGUCCCAAGCGUUGUUCGGAUUCACUGGGCGUAAAGGGUGCGUAGGCGGUCGGGUAAGUCUGAUGUGAAAUCUCACAGCUUAACUGUGAAACUGCAUUGGAUACUAUCCGGCUAGAGGAAUGGAGGGGAGACUGGAAUACUUGGUGUAGCAGUGAAAUGCGUAGAUAUCAAGUGGAACACCAGUGGCGAAGGCGAGUCUCUGGACAGCUCCUGACGCUGAGGCACGAAAGCCAGGGGAGCAAACGGG